CGUGCGUCGUGCGGAAAUAUGGCGGAGCAUUGAGUGGCGCGCUCAAUUGAAAUAAACAACUGUACAGUGUGGAAGUGAAACAUCUUGCGAAGUUUUAAUCCAAAGUAUUGAACCCUUUUGGUUUGCAGUCAUUAGAAAAAACGAGCGAGAAGAAAACAUGAAGGACGGAUUAAAAAAAAACCAGUUUGCUGCCGUCUACAGGUCGGCGAAUACAGUUGAAGUCGCACAAGAAGAUGACGCCAUGACACUUUUGUACAAGUCCAACAUCACUUUUGUCACAGAUUUCAAGCAGAUUUCCCUUCACAACAGCAGGAGAGCGAAAAGUUUUGGUCAAAUCAAGCGCGCUUGAGCCAAGCGACAAAAUUCCACGGCGGCCAUUUUGCAUCAAAACACAAGACGACGCUAGUUGGACAUCGCAAGCUAAUAUUAAGCUAGCUAACCUCUACGAACUGGCUACCCUUGAAUAGAAUUAGAACUUUUCAACGUGACCAAUUUCGUCUUCCAUUACAUUUGUCAGUCUACGCCUGUCGAAGCUCCAAAUUGCCAAAGAGAAAGCAAAAAAGCGGCAGUUUGUCCUGUGACGCUGGCUAAACCGAGCGCCAAAGACUAACGAGUAUUUUUCCUGAAAAAUUACACAUUUCUUGACAUUUUAUCGGCGGUGUUUAAUGGAUACGAAAAUGACACUAAAGCCGCAAAAAUAAGGAGCAGAUCAGUCAAUCCUUUGACGCUCGCCGACCUGAGCUGACGUCUCGCCCGGCUGGCGGCGCUUUGAGUUGAUGAUCUGAAAAGGGACAAUUGUGCAACUUUCCAGCUAAAGAAAAUUUAAUCUAGUGUAUGUCACAAAAACCCAAAGAAAAAGAUGAAUUGUUUCUGUUCGCUAACCUGAGCUCUUGAGAUGUAUGAGGCCCUUUGGCGUUUAUCUUAUGUAACGUGGGAUUUUGUUCUAAAUGGUGAAAAUGUUUUUCUUGUCGGACGACCUCCCCGCCCCAUAAACGAGAACCGAUGUCUCCAUUAAUUCCAUGAAUUAAUUUUGCCUGAUAAGGUGAAGACUGCACGAAAAAAAGACUUUCAUAAAUUGUUUAAAAGAAAUGGAAAAAUAUUUCAUGAAAAAAUAAAGGACGGUAUUUUUUUUAAACGUUUUUCCUGGACGCUGGUGUGGUGACGUUUUCGGUGUAUUAAGUAAUCAAUUACGCCCCCAAUAGGUUAAAACUAUAAAUGACCGUUUUGUGUGUGAGCAUAGAAAAAAACUCUGCUUCCCUCUGGCGGUCAUGUCGUGUUAUCACCAUCCUUCCUGAAUUGAAUGAAGGAGGUCAAGAUUUUAGUGUAUCAACAUUUUACAUCAAAAUAAUACAAAGAAUAAGACUGAAUUUUUAUAAUUGUUGAAUAUAUUGUAGUCAAAUGAAAUGUAAAAAUAAAUUUGAUUCUAGUGUUAUUUUGAAACAUUCAAAACAAAAACAAAAUUAUACUCGCCUAAGAAUUUGGUAUCAAAUAUAUCUGUUUUUAGCAAUUUAGCAAUUUUUAAGUAUAUAUUUUGCUUGAUUUUAAAACUGGGCAAUAGUUUGUUUUCAUGAAAUUCACAAAGCCUAAUAUUGACGUUUUCUCCCUUGUACCACACGAGGGCGCGCUUUACUCAAAGUUUAUGGGCUCAUUCGGGACAGCGCCAAUCCAUCCAUCUAUCCAUCCGUUUUCUUCGCCGCUUAUCCUCACGAGGGUCGCGGGGAGUGCUGGAGCCUAUCCCAGCUGUCAACCGGCAGGAGGCGGGGCACACCCUGAACUGGUCGCCAGCCAAUCGCAGGUGGCAUAGAGACAAACAGUCGCACUCGCAAUCACACCUUGGGACAAUUUAGAGUGUCUAAUUAAUAUUGCACGUUUUUGGGAUGUGGGAGGAAACCGGAGUGGCCACCCGGAGAAAAGCUGCACGGGGAGAACAUGCAAACUCCACACAGGCGGGGCCGGGAUUGAACCCGGUGUCCUCCGAACUUGUGAGGCCAACGCUUUACCAGCUGAGCCACCGUGCCGCCCGUUUAUGUAGUUUUAAUUUUGAAAAUGCAAAGUCGUCUUCCCCCUCCCCGGCUUCUCCCAUGAAUUAUUUGCGCUUGCCCUUUCCUUCAUUUAUCUCUUUGCGUGAUGCCUCACGGUGGGGGGGACGGGGAGGAGACGACGGCGGUGAUAAUGAGCUCGUCACAAGUGGAUUCAUUAAAAAAAAAAAAAUAAUAAAUCAAGUGGUUGUCGUAGUAACCGGCGGUGUAGAAAAAAACAAGUUUUAUUAAUGUUGUCUUGCAUACUCAGUCAGACAAAAUGUUUUCCCUGGAAAACGGUGGCUGUUGACGCAUUUGUGCCGCAAAAGUGCGGGUGUUGAUGCUGCUACUAGGAAAAAGUACUUUCACUCUGAAAAGUGUGGGUAGCGAACCUCGGCAAACGUAUGAAUGUUUGACGCGUUUGCGGACAAAAGUGCGAAUGUUUCAUCUGUACUGGUGAAAAACGUGGGUGUCCGUUAUCCUUGGCAUUGGGAAAGUUGAAAAUCGAAAGUGCCAAGAAAAGCAUCAUGUCAAUAAAAGUAUGGGUGCGUAAACCCGUGCGAAACUUUUACAGGAAUAGUAUUGUUCUUUAUCCCGGCCGGGAAGAAAGUGUGGGUGUUCGAGGUCCCUUUUCUCGUCCUGGUGAACGUGAGGGUGCUGAACUCUUUUCAAGGAAAAAUGUGGGUGUUAAAAGUAUGGCUGUUUAUCCUGGCACUGGGAAAAGUGCGGGCAAUCAACCCGCCACCACCAGGAAAAAUGUGGGUGUUGACUUCAUUCACCAAGAGAAAAAUUGUCAACCUUUUGUAUGUAUUCAACAUUUUCACUGGGAAAAAAAAGUGCGUUUUUAACUUACCCACACAAAAAGUAUUUGAAGCGAGCAAAAAAAAAAAAAAUGGAUGUUGCUUUUUAUGCUCAUUCGUGAAAAGCUUUUGGUUUGGUUUUGUUUUUUCUUCUUUUGAGCUCAGAUGUCCCCCUGGUGCAAAAAGUACUUUUGUGUUUUCUGUCCGUCUGGACGUCCACCGGCAAUGUUACUGCGCCGCUUUUUUUUUUUUUUUUUUUUUUCCCGUGUCCCACAUUUGUCUUCGUGCCGUUGUUAAGCCCGGGGGUGCGAGGGACGUACACGUGGAAAAAAGCGGCCGUCUGCUCUCAACUCGUUUCGGCCAGAAUUGGCAACAAUCGUUCAAAAACGUUCUCCUGACUCCACUGGCAAAUGUGCGGGUGUUGAAACAUUUUCACCUGGACACGUCUGGACCUGCAACCGUUUCACUCGGAAAGUGGGGGUGUCCAGCAAACAUGAUGG